GGAAUCUUCGGCAAUGUACGAAAGUCUGACCGAGCAACGCCGCGUGAGUGAAGAAGGUUUUCAGAUCGUAAAACUCUGUUGUUAGAGAAGAACAAGGAUGAGAGUAACUGUUCAUCCCUUGACGGUAUCUAACCAGAAAGCCACGGCUAACUACGUGCCAGCAGCCGCGGUAAUACGUAGGUGGCAAGCGUUGUCCGGAUUUAUUGGGCGUAAAGGGAACGCAGGCGGUCAUUUCAGUCUGAUGUGAAAGCCUUCGGCUUAACCGGAGAAGUGCAUUGCAAACUGGGAGACUUGAGUGCAGAAGAGGAGAGUGGAACUCCAUGUGUAGCGGUGAAAUGCGUAGAUAUAUGGAAGAACACCAGUGGCGAAAGCGGCUCUCUGGUCUGUAACUGACGCUGAGGUUCGAAAGCGUGGGGAGCGAACA
rnacentral:rRNA from 1 species